rnacentral:miRNA from 1 species
AUGUUCAUUUGUGUUCUACACAAUUCUAGAAAGAUCAUGAAUACAAUGAUGAUUUUAGAAUUGUGGAGAACAUACUACGUCG